GGGUUGUGAGGUUAAGCGACUAAGCGUACACGGUGGAUGCCCUGGCAGUCAGAGGCGAUGAAGGACGUGCUAAUCUGCGAAAAGCGUCGGUAAGGUGAUAUGAACCGUUAUAGCCGGCGAUGUCCGAAUGGGGAAACCCAGUGCAAUUCGUUGCACUAUCGUUAACUGAAUACAUAGGUUAGCGAGGCGAACCGGGGGAACUGAAACAUCUAAGUACCCCGAGGAAAAGAAAUCAACCGAGAUUCCCCCAGUAGCGGCGAGCGAACGGGGAGCAGCCCAGAGUCUGAAUCAGCUUGUGUGUUAGUGGAACGGUCUGGAAAGUCCGACGGUACAGGGUGAUAGUCCCGUACACCAAAAUGCACAGGUUGUGAACUCGAAGAGUAGGGCGGGACACGUGGUAUCCUGUCUGAAUAUGGGGGGACCAUCCUCCA
rnacentral:rRNA from 1 species